GGUAUCAAGACAGUAAAGGUGGAUGAGCACUCCAGCUGUCGCUAUGAUGGUCCGCCUGAGAGAUGCCCACUGGAGCUGAGAAAGAUGGAGUGGGGUGAGCAACACACCAGCUGUCGCCGUCAUGGUCUGGCUGAGACAUACGCAGUGGAGCUGAGAAAAGUGGAGUAGCUAGCCAAAUACAACUAAUUAUUUACCUUGGAAGCUGGGGAGACUCUCACACCAGGUCUGUUGUUGGUCUUCCGUGUCCCUUUGUUCCUGAUUGACACAUGCUGUUGACAGUUGGGGGAUCAUUAGUGGCAUUCCAUAUGUCAUUCACCUUUAAUCUUACUUCAUACUGGGUCAUUUUGUGUCAGAUCAUCCACAAUUCAGAAACUUUCCUGAAUCAAAUUUGAUAUUUUAAAUUUUUUUUUUUUCUUAAACCAAAAUAUUGAAUGUCACAAGAUUGUUGAAGUCAACAGACUUUACUAAUAUAGCUACCAAUCUUUAUGUAAAAAAUAAAAUAACAAUGCUGCCAUCUUUCUAAUUCCAUUGUUAUUUGGUUGUUAAAUCUUCAUGUUGACCCCCCCCCCCACUCUCUUUUAUUUAUGGCAUUCAUUUUU